rnacentral:rRNA from 1 species
GACGAACGCUGGCGGCGUGCUUAACACAUGCAAGUCGAACGGAAAGGCCCUGCUUUUGUGGGGUGCUCGAGUGGCGAACGGGUGAGUAACAAGUGAGUAACCUGCCCUUGACUUUGGGAUAACUUCAGGAAACUGGGGCUAAUACCGGAUAGGAGCUCCUGCUGCAUGGUGGGGGUUGGAAAGUUUCGGCGGUUGGGGAUGGACUCGCGGCUUAUCAGCUUGUUGGUGGGGUAGUGGCUUACCAAGGCUUUGACGGGUAGCCGGCCUGAGAGGGUGACCGGCCACAUUGGGACUGAGAUACGGCCCAGACUCCUACGGGGGGCAGCAGGGGGGAAUAUUGCACAAUGGGCGGAAGCCUAAUGCAGCAACGCCGCGUGCGGGAUGACGGCCUGCGGGUUGUAAACCGCGUUCGCCUGUGACGAAGCGUGAGUGACGGUAAUGGGUAAAGAAGCACCGGCUAACUACGUG